rnacentral:misc_RNA from 1 species
UUUUUUGUUAUGAUUUUUAUAAUACAUUCUUUGACUCGUGUUUAUGAAUUGAAAAAGGUUCUUUAGACAAGGAAGAGGUUUUGCGUCUUCCAGAGUCUGAAAGAAGCCUUUUAGAAAUAGUGCACAGGGUAGAAAGUGGAGGUCAGGCCCCUCUGACGCCAACCCAGUUAAAGGAGUUAGGCGAGAGGGCACCCUAAAAUUCACUAAUGAUCCUUCCGCAGGUUCACCUACGGAAA